GAAGAGCCCAAACCAACAAGCUUGCUUGUUGGGGUUGUAGGACACUCUAUACGGAGUUACAAAGGACGACAUUAGACGAAUCAUCUGGAAAGAUGAAUCAAAGAAGGUAAUAAUCCUGUAGUCGAAAAUGUUGUCUCUCUUGAGUGGAUCCUGAGUACGACGGAGCACGUGAAAUUCCGUCGGAAUCUGGGAGGACCAUCUCCUAAGGCUAAAUACUCUCUAGUGACCGAUAGUGAACCAGUACCGUGAGGGAAAGGUGAAAAGCACCCCGGAAGGGGAGUGAAAUAGAACCUGAAACCGUGUGCUUACAAGUAGUCAGAGCCCGUUAAUGGGUGAUGGCGUGCCUUUUGUAGAAUGAACCGGCGAGUUACGAUUUGAUGCAAGGUUAAGCAGUAAAUGUGGAGCCGUAGCGAAAGCGAGUCUGAAUAGGGCGUUUAGUAUUUGGUCGUAGACCCGAAACCAGGUGAUCUACCCUUGGUCAGGUUGAAGUUCAGGUAACACUGAAUGGAGGACCGAACCGACUUACGUUGAAAAGUGAGCGGAUGAACUGAGGGUAGCGGAGAAAUUCCAAUCGAACCUGGAGAUAGCUGGUUCUCUCCGAAAUAGCUUUAGGGCUAGCCUCAAGUGAUGAUUAUUGGAGGUAGAGCACUGUUUGGACGAGGGGCCCCUCUCGGGUUACCGAAUUCAGACAAACUCCGAAUGCCAAUUAAUUUAACUUGGGAGUCAGAACAUGGGUGAUAAGGUCCGUGUUCGAAAGGGAAACAGCCCAGACCACCAGCUAAGGUCCCAAAAUAUAUGUUAAGUGGAAAAGGAUGUGGCGUUGCCCAGACAACUAGGAUGUUGGCUUAGAAGCAGCCAUCAUUUAAAGAGUGCGUAAUAGCUCACUAGUCGAGUGACACUGCGCCGAAAAUGUACCGGGGCUAAACAUAUUACCGAAGCUGUGGAUUGUCCUUUGGACAAUGGUAGGAGAGCGUUCUAAGGGCGUUGAAGCAUGAUCGUAAGGACAUGUGGAGCGCUUAGAAGUGAGAAUGCCGGUGUGAGUAGCGAAAGACGGGUGAGAAUCCCGUCCACCGAUUGACUAAGGUUUCCAGAGGAAGGCUCGUCCGCUCUGGGUUAGUCGGGUCCUAAGCUGAGGCCGACAGGCGUAGGCGAUGGAUAACAGGUUGAUAUUCCUGUACCACCUAUAAUCGUUUUAAUCGAUGGGGGGACGCAGUAGGAUAGGCGAAGCGUGCGAUUGGAUUGCACGUCUAAGCAGUAAGGCUGAGUAUUAGGCAAAUCCGGUACUCGUUAAGGCUGAGCUGUGAUGGGGAGAAGACAUUGUGUCUUCGAGUCGUUGAUUUCACACUGCCGAGAAAAGCCUCUAGAUAGAAAAUAGGUGCCCGUACCGCAAACCGACACAGGUAGUCAAGAUGAGAAUUCUAAGGUGAGCGAGCGAACUCUCGUUAAGGAACUCGGCAAAAUGACCCCGUAACUUCGGGAGAAGGGGUGCUCUUUAGGGUUAACGCCCAGAAGAGCCGCAGUGAAUAGGCCCAAGCGACUGUUUAUCAAAAACACAGGUCUCUGCUAAACCGUAAGGUGAUGUAUAGGGGCUGACGCCUGCCCGGUGCUGGAAGGUUAAGAGGAGUGGUUAGCUUCUGCGAAGCUACGAAUCGAAGCCCCAGUAAACGGCGGCCGUAACUAUAACGGUCCUAAGGUAGCGAAAUUCCUUGUCGGGUAAGUUCCGACCCGCACGAAAGGCGUAACGAUUUGGGCACUGUCUCAACGAGAGACUCGGUGAAAUCAUAGUACCUGUGAAGAUGCAGGUUACCCGCGACAGGACGGAAAGA
rnacentral:rRNA from 1 species